GAGUUUGAUCCUGGCUCAGAGCGAACGCUGGCGGCGUGCUUAACACAUGCAAGUCGAGUGCGCGUACCGUAGCAAUACGGUAUGGCGCACGGCGCACGGGUGCGUAACACGUGGGUAAUCUGCCCUUCGAUGGGGAAUAACUCCGGGAAACCGAAGCUAAUUCCGCAUAACAUUCCUUGAACCUCGGUUUGGGGACUCAAAGCCGUAAGGCGUCGGAGGAGGAACCCGCGCACGAUUAGUUAGUUGGCAGGGUAACGGCCUACCAAGACUUUGAUCGUUAGCUGGUCUGAGAGGAUGGCCAGCCACACUGGAACUGAGACACGGUCCAGACUCCUACGGGAGGCAGCAGUGGGGAAUCUUGCACAAUGGGCGAAAGCCUGAUGCAGCGACGCCGCGUGGGGGAUGAAGCUUUUCGGAGUGUAAACCCCUUUCGACCCGGACGAAUGCCCCGCAGGGGGAUUGACGGUACGGGUAUAAGAAGCCCCGGCUAACUACGUGCCGGCAGCCGCGGUAAGACGUGGGGGGCCAGCGUUGCUCGG
rnacentral:rRNA from 1 species